rnacentral:misc_RNA from 1 species
GGAGCAGAUGUUUCAGGAACAAGGUCUGCAUGCCCAAUUCUCUUUUUGUGUCUAUGAUGUCCAAAACACCAGUAUACACUCCAGCAGCUUCCCCAUCUUCCCUUCUGAACCGUGUCUUGAGGAGCACGAUUCUCGGCGUAAGCGAUCGCAGAGGCGGCAGCGUUUAUGGUGUCGAGAGCGUUGUUGGAAGGUCUAGAGUCUCCAUUAACGGCUCUCAUCUGAGAAGUAUUUCCAGGAAAACUAAGAAUUUUCUCGAGAAAAUGAAAUGAAAAAUGGAAAUCUGAGUUUUGUUUUUGAGUGAAUUUCAUUAUAUAUAUUUAAAAAAUAUACACUGUUCUAUAAGCG